CAAGGAGAGGGUGGCAAAAGCAUCCGUAGAUUCAAAUGAUCUGCCUUGAUGAAGAUCUAAGAUCCAUUUGACCACUACAGUUGAAUCUCCCUCCAACCAAAUAGAUUUGAACCCAAACUGGAAAGUAGCGAUAGUAAGGCCUUUUCUUGCUGCAUGGAGCUCACCAAUUGGCACUAAAAGAGCUUGGGUCUUUCUCGAGGCUGCAAAUGAGACAUUACCAUUGU
rnacentral:lncRNA from 1 species